rnacentral:rRNA from 1 species
UACGUAGGGACCAAGCGUUGUUCGGAUUUACUGGGCGUAAAGGGCGCGUAGGCGGCCAGCACAAGUCAGUUGUGAAAUCUCCGAGCUUAACUCGGAACGGUCAACUGAUACUGUGCGGCUAGAGUGCGGAAGGGGCAACUGGAAUUCUUGGUGUAGCGGUGAAAUGCGUAGAUAUCAAGAGGAACACCUGCGGCGAAGGCGGGUUGCUGGGCCGACACUGACGCUGAGGCGCGAAAGCGUGGGGAGCGAACAGG